AUAUCAAUAAGCGGAGGAAAAGAAGCCAACAGGGAUUGCCUUAGUAACGGCGAGUGAAGCGGCAAUAGCUCAAAUUUGAAAUCUGGCACCUUUGGGUGUCCGAGUUGUAAUUUGUAGAGGAUGUUUCGGUAUUGCCACUAAUCUAAGUCCCUUGGAACAGGGUGUCAUAGAGGGUGAGAGUCCCGUAUGUGAUUAGUUGUCUUUGCCAUGUGAAACUCCUUCGACGAGUCGAGUUGUUUGGGAAUGCAGCUCUAAUUGGGAGGUAAAUUUCUUCUAAAGCUAAAUACUGGCCAGAGACCGAUAGCGCACAAGUAGAGUGAUCAAAAGAUGAAAAGCACUUUGGAAAGAGAGUUAAACAGUACGUGAAAUUGUUGAAAGGGAAGCGCUUGCAAUCAGACCUGCUUGCAGUUAUUCAUCUAAACUUUCGGGUUUAGUGCAUUUUUCUGUAAGUCAGGCCAGUAUCAGUUCAGGCGGUUGGAUAAAGAAUUCAGGAAUGUAGCUCCUUUCGGGGAGUGUUAUAGCCUGUUUUGUAAUGCAACCAGCCUGGAUUGAGGACCGCGCUUCGGCUAGGAUACUGGCGUAAUGGUUGUAAGCGG
rnacentral:rRNA from 1 species